UUGUUUAUUUAAAUGUGAAGUCUCAGUCUGUGUGAAGUAAAGAAAAAAAAAAGGGAAUUUAGAACAAAAAGGGACUUUUUCUCGUUCGUCGGCCGUUCGAGUCGCGCCCCAGUAGGUCAUUCGCGCCGUGCACCGCUCUCGUCGCAUCCCAAUCACUCGCUCGCCCAACCGUCACCUAGUGUCACGCGUUUCUUGCCGAGUUUUCCAGUCAUCGCGCCACCAGCCUAGGCCAAGCACCCGUUCACCGAUCUGACGCGGACAGCCCCGUCUGUCGCUGGAUCGUGGUCACUUUCCGUCAGAUUCUGCUGUUUGGGGUAGAUUUGGAACAUUUUAGAUUCGAGUUGUGGAGAUCGUGGGUUUGUUGUCCAGCAGUUGGAGGUUGCUUCAGAGGAGUUUUGGUAAAGGUAGAGAUAGACCGGUGAAUGACAAGAGGGAUCCAUGACCUCGGCCAUUUGGACACGUUGUCGCUUCCACACUUAGGUUUCAUCUGAUAGGGUCUGAUCUAGAGGAAAGAAGCAGGUUCAAAGUACGAUCUAAACCCGUGCGUCGCAAACUGAAACAAAGAGUUUAGUUAAGAUGUGGUUGACUGGCCAUUCUUUUAAGACCUGAUGCUAGGGAUGAGGUGCGUAAUGCCCUGUUAUCUAUGAAAUCGGGUAAAGUUCCUGGUCCGGAUGGUUUUCCAGUGGAGUUUUAGAAAUCUUCUUGGAGUGUGGUGGGGGAAUAUUUCUACUCUGCCGUUCGUCACUUCUUUGAUACAUGUUAUCUUCCCUAUGGGGUAAAUGCCACGACUCUUACCUUGAUUCUUAAAAGAUUUGGUGCUGAUCGUAUGGAGGAUUUUCGCUCCAUUGUUUGCUGUAAUGUGGUGUAUAAGUGUAUCUCUAAGGUGAUUGCUGACAGACUCCGUGUGUGUUUGCCUUGGUUUAUUAGUGAGAAUCAAUAGGGGUUUAUGUAAGGGUGGUGUAUCACGGAUAACAUUUUAUUGUGCCAAGAGCUUAUUGAGGGUUAUCAGCUUAAUAAGGGUAAGCCUUGUUGUGUGUUAAAGGUGGAUCUUUGAAAGGCUUAUGACUCAGUUAAUUGGGACUUUUUGUUUGGUGUUCUUUUGGCCAUUGGAACUCCUUUGAAGUUUGUGAGCUGGAUCUAUGCUUGUGUUACUUCUCCUUUUUUCUCUAUAAUGAUCAAUGGCUCUCUUGGGGGUUACUUUCUAUAUAGGAAAGGGCUAAGGCAGGGGGAUCCUUUGUCCUAUUUUCUGUUUGUGAUGGUCAUGGAAGUAUUAUCUCGAUUGUUGAAUAGGCCUCCUCCCUUCUUUGUGUUUCAUCAUAGGUGUGAAAAGGUGAGAUUGACUCACCUGUUGUUUGCUGAUGACCUUAUGAUUUUUUGUGGGGUGGAUUGUAGUUCGUUGAGUUUUGUGAGGCAGGUGUCACGUCAGUUUGUGAAGCUGUCUGGGCUGGUGGCUAAUGUUAGUAAAAGUUCUAUGUUUGUUAUUGGUGUUUCUUCUAAUGUGGCAAGGGAUCUGGCUACUAGUAUGGGAUUUGUUCUCGGGUCUUUGCCUAUUCGUUAUCUUGGACUUCCUCUGUUGUUGGGUAAGCUAAAAGCUAUUGAUUGUGCCCCAUUGAUUCAGAAGAUUACAGCUCGGGUUCGGAGUUGGGUUACAAGAUCCCUCUCUUUUGCGGGACGCUUGCAAUUAGUUAGGUCAGUGUUGUAGAGCUUCUAGGUGUUUUGGUCUAGUGUGUUUGUGUUGCCUACUUCUGUUGGCCAUGAGGUUGAUCGUAUUCUACGGGUUUUUUUGUGGAGGGGAUGGGUUGAUGGCAAGGGGGUGUGUGUGUUGCUCGGGACGAGGUUUGUUUGAAGUUAUUUGAAGGGAGUUUGGGUAUCCAUCACACUUCUUUCUGGAAUGAGGCAACAAUCUUGAAAUUGUUAUAGUUAUUAUUGGUGCGGUCUGGUUCCUUAUGGUUACUUGGAUGGAGGAGUAUGUUCUUAGAGGAUGGUCUUUAUGGGUGGUUCGUGUCGAGGUUGGGCGAUCGUGGUGUUUGAGGGCAAUUUUAUGCUGUCGAGAUAGGAUUAGGCCGUUGGUUAGGUUGCAGGUUGGUAAUGGUAGGAGAUGUUUUGUUUGAUAGGAUCCGUGGCUGCUUGUGGGGUCUAUCUUGGAGAAUUAUGGGGAGCAUGUGAUUUUUGAUGCUGAUAGUUGUCGUGAGACUAGACUGUCAGGCUUCUUAUUUAUUGAUGGUUAUUGGCAUUGGCCUUCGGUUUCUUGGGAACUUCUUGAAUAAUGGGGUUUGGUUUAGGGAGUGGUGCUGAAAGUGAGUGUGAAGGAUAGUUGGGUUUGGGUUCUAAGUGGUAAUGGUCUCUUCUCUAUUGCUAAUGCGUGGGAGAGUUUGCGUCCUAGGCGUCCUAAAGUGUCUUGGACUCGUCUGGUUUGGUCUGGGGGUAAUGUCCCAAGGCAUUCUUUUUGUGUCUGGCUUGCAGUGAAGGAUAGAUUAGGUACUCGGGAUUGGUUGAGGAGGUGGAAUCUCUGUCUGCUUUGUGUGGAUAGGUAGAGUCUCGGAAUCAUUUGUUUUUUUACUAUGUGUUUAGGAGGGAGAUUUAGGAGGGUGUGGUGCGUCUGCUGAGUUCGUCUUAUCGAGUUGUUGGGUGAGAUGUAGAGUUGAGUUGGGUGUGUCGGAUGGGGGCUGGUAAGGGUGUGCAAAGUCAGUUAUUUCGAGUUUUCUGGUGUGCGUCAAUUUACUUUAUUUGGCAGGAGAGGAAUCGUCGGCUGCAUGGAGGGCGUCCGAGAAUGGCGUAUACCUUGUUUCAGUUUAUCGUCUCUAUGGUUUGUGCGCGUUCUACUUCUUGGCAGAUUGAUUUUCAUGACUUUCUCUAGCUUCUUUCUCUUCGUUGCUUUUAGUUUUCUCUUGGUUACUUUGGUUUUUGUGUGCUCCCCGGCUUGUGGGAUUUCUCUUCUGGUUGGUUUUGUUUGUUUUUCCUUUGGGAAGUCUUUUGAUUAUAGUUAUGCUUGUGCGAUGUUUAUAUAGGUGGCUUGAAUGUUGUGGUGUCUUGAUCCCAGGUUAUGAGAUCCCACUUAUUGUUGUAUAAUAAUAUUACCUAUUCAAAAAUAAA